rnacentral:rRNA from 1 species
UCGGAAUUAUUGGGCGUAAAGAGCUCGUAGGCGGUCUGUUACGUCUGCUGUGAAAACCCAGGGCUUAACCCUGGGCUUGCAGUGGAUACGGGCAGACUAGAGGCAGGUAGGGGAGAAUGGAAUUCCCGGUGUAGCGGUGAAAUGCGCAGAUAUCGGGAGGAACACCGGUGGCGAAGGCGGUUCUCUGGGCCUGACCUGACGCUGAGGAGCGAAAGCGUGGGGAGCAAACAGG